UACGUAGGGUGCGAGCGUUGUCCGGAAUUAUUGGGCGUAAAGAGCUUGUAGGCGGUUUGUCGCGUCUGCUGUGAAAAUCCGGGGCUCAACCCCGGACUUGCAGUGGGUACGGGCAGACUAGAGUGUGGUAGGGGAGACUGGAAUUCCUGGUGUAGCGGUGGAAUGCGCAGAUAUCAGGAGGAACACCGGUGGCGAAGGCGGUUCUCUGGGCCUGUACUGACGCUGAGGAGCGAAAGCGUGGGGAGCGAACAGG
rnacentral:rRNA from 1 species